CGCUUUUUCUCGUACGCAAACGGUAGGGAAGCACGUGGUUGUUUCGGUUUUGUUACAUGAAUGAAAAGAAGCCAUGCGCACUGAGGCCUUCCGUAAGGUCCUGUUGCAUAUAUUUGUCAUACAGAUCGUCGAAGUACAUAGCUCGGCUUGUCCCGUCGAAGAACCGUUGAACACAUGACAGAUAGCAGAGUUUAUUUGAUUGAAAUAUUCAGCAGAUUCCGUUGUUACAGUGAAGAAGAAUGGUUCUUUGUGUCGUCCGUGCGUAUCCUUGAUGAAGACAGUUUUCCAGACGGAUAUAGUUGAACCCGCACGAUUGGUAUCCUGCUCCUCGUCCACCCCUUGCAUCAGAGCGCUCUGAGUCUCAAGGAAACAAAUCACUCCUACGGUUGAUGCUCGAAGGUAGUAAGGAAGGCAGAUUCAGUUGUUAACCAGGAAAAGAGGUAUCCGGCAUUCAAAUCGGUGAUUACGUAUUCAAUUACGGUUUCCCGAUUGCUUGCCGUAAUGAGCCGAAAUUGAGUUGUAAUUAAUGUCGUUAAUUAUAAAUGAGCCGACUCAAGUAAAGUUUUCUCCUCAAGAGGCUUUUGAACUCAUCCGAAUUGAACUUCUUUUUCAGCCAUCAUUCAAGGAUGUAAGAAGUGUGCAUUCCAGUGUUCAAAUCAAGAAUCAUAAGAAUUGAAGUUGUGUCAAACCAUUUUGAUUGAUGAUAACAUGGGGUUGUGCUACAUCAAGAGGAAAUGGUUUGACAUCAAUUUGUUGUGUUAUAUAUUUCAUUUAGUUGAAUGUUAUUUCAGGAAGCUAACUCUGUCUUUGUAUUUCCAGCGAGGAAUAUCAACAGCGAUGUACGUACUGUCCGGCCGAUAGCAGUCCAGCUCCCUGCCCACCGGACUGUUUCUGUAAGCGACCGCCAGAUGAUGCAUCCGAUAGGGUUUGAAUCGAGUAUAAGAAACUAUUUUGGGAUGAUGCAAAGUAAAAGUCAUUUUAUCUGUGAAAAAAGCUUAUCUCUAAUCUACGGAAGCGUUAACGCUGUAUGUAUUUGAUUUUAAUUUCCUAUCAAGUCCUAAUGCAAAUUUUCGCAAGUAGUAAAUCUAGCAUGUCAUGUUGAAUUUGAUGUAAUUUGUAAAUGAAUAGCAAUUUUUAGAAUAGUGCUAGAUGAUAAGACUUUUCGGCAGUUGUAAGAUGCUUAUGAAUUGCAGCAAAAUACUUCGUAAGUUUAAUGUAUCAAUAUCAAUGUUCGCUUCAAUCUAUCUUCCCAAAUAAUUACAUUCAUUAAAUGGAAAUGUAACAAGGGGCUGCAUAUCGUUGUGAUGGAUUAUCACUACAUAAUCGUAUUUAAAUUCAAUAAAAAAAUAAUUAUUCAUAACCCCAAAA